rnacentral:rRNA from 2 species
GAGUUUGAUCGUGGCUCAGGAUGAACGCUGGCGGCGUGCCUAAUACAUGCAAGUCGAGCGGUAAGGCCUCUUCGGAGGUACACGAGCGGCGGACGGCUGAGUAACACGUAGGAACAUACCCCGAAGUGAGGGAUAACUGCUCGAAAGAGUAGCUAAUACCGCAUGUGAUCUAAGGAUUAAAGCUUCGGCGCUUCGGGAAUGGCCUGCGUCUGAUUAGCUAGAUGGUGAGGUAAUGGCUCACCAUGGCGACGAUCAGUAGCUGGUCUGAGAGGAUGAUCAGCCAGACUGGGACUGAGACACGGCCCAGACUCCUACGGGAGGCAGCAGUAGGGAAUUUUCCACAAUGGGCGAAAGCCUGAUGGAGCAACGCCGCGUGCAGGAUGAAUGCCUUCGGUUGUAACUGCUUUUAUGGGAUGAUGCCUGGUGAAUAGCCAGGGUGACAGUACCCGUUGAAUAAGCCACGGCUAACUACGUGCCAGCAGCC